rnacentral:rRNA from 1 species
UACGGAGGAUGCAAGCGUUAUCCGGAAUGAUUGGGCGUAAAGCGUCCGCAGGUGGCUGUGUAAGUCUGCUGUUAAAGAGUCUAGCUCAACUAGAUACAAGCAGUGGAAACUACACGGCUAGAGUACGUUCGGGGCAGGAGGGAAUUCCUGGUGUAGCGGUGAAAUGCGUAGAGAUCAGGAAGAACACCGGUGGCGAAGGCGCUCUGCUAGGCCGUAACUGACACUGAGGGACGAAAAGCUAGGGGGAGCGAAUGGG